rnacentral:rRNA from 1 species
CAAUAGCGUAUAUUAAAGUUGUUGCAGUUAAAAAGCUCGUAGUUGGAUUUGUGGAGGCUCACGAUGUCCGUUUUUGGUACGUUUGUGGGGCUGCAUACUUGGGUGGAGCCUGUGUGGCAUUAGGUUGUCGUGCAGGGGAUGCUCAUCGUUUACUGUGAAAAAAUUAGAGUGUUCAAAGCAGGCUUAUGCCAUUGAAUAUAUUAGCAUGGAAUAAUAAGAUAGGACCUUGGUACUAUUUUGUUGGUUUGCGCACUGAGGUAAUGAUUAACAGGGACAGUUGGGGGUAUUCGUAUUCCAUUGUCAGAGGUGAAAUUCUUGGAUUUUUGGAAGACGAACUACUGCGAAAGCAUUUACCAAGGAUGUUUUCAUUAA